UACAGAGGGGGCAAGCGUUGUUCGGAAUUACUGGGCGUAAAGGGCACGUAGGCGGCCUGCUAAGUCGAACGUGAAAUCCCUGGGCUCAACCCAGGAACUGCGUCCGAUACUGGUUGGCUUGAAUCCGGGAGAGGGAUGUGGAAUUCCAGGUGUAGCGGUGAAAUGCGUAGAUAUCUGGAGGAACACCGGUGGCGAAGGCGGCGACCUGGUCCAUUACUGACGCUGAGGCGCGACAGCGUGGGGAGCAAACAGG
rnacentral:rRNA from 1 species